GCCCCACUAUAAGCAUAAAUGUAGUCGUAGUUAAGGCUAUUGAGUUAUAUGUAUUUUGAUUUGAAUAAAAUUUAUGAUUACACAUACAUAUGAAUAUUUAAAAGUAUUGAUUUAUUUAAAUAAGUAUAAAAUAUAUUUUUAUAUUUAUUCAUGGUAUAUAUUUUUAAACAUUAUAUCUUAUGAUAAUAUAUAAAAUAUCUAAUUAAAAUA
rnacentral:lncRNA from 1 species